CAUUGGAACCGACCGCGAAUUCGGACGUUUUAAAAAUGCAGUUCCCAGUGUGUGUUUGACUUAUGGUGUUGCGCCACUAGACGAGGAGGGUCACAGUCAACACGCUUCUGACAAGUGUCACGUUUGAGUGGAGUUUCCACAUCCAUCAGGAGGACUUACACUCCUGCGUCACUGAUCCCUUUAGGCUACCGCUUGCUCACGAUUGGAGGCCAUUUUCUGACAUAUUACUUUUCUCGUGCCUCCGUUCAGGUAGGUGUUGUCUCUCGAGAGGCUUUCCGUUGUCCCUCUCGCGAUGUUCUCCUCCAUCAGAGUUACGCAUAAAAUCGUUGACCCGGAGAAGUAUGCACACACGUUUAUCAAUCUGUGUCGUUCUACGUAGGUACCUCCAUUCUAUCCUAAUGUGUAGUCACUCGGUGCAGAGGUUUUACAGCCUGCAUGAGCUCUGCCCGUUCUGGAAACGUCGGAUGUUGACGGACUUGUUCCGCCUGGCCUAGCUUCGUACAAUCCAGAGAGCAUGCCCCCCCUCUCGUAGGAAAUUGAAAUCCAGAAAUUUUACCUCUUAAGCACUCCAUUGGUGUGGUGGUGUACAGCAUUCAUAAAGAACUUGGUUGUCUGUGUCUCACAACUGGAGUCAUAUUCAGAUUCUAAGGUAGCGCGGAUGCUUCACGAUCAUC
rnacentral:lncRNA from 1 species